CCUGUCCCCGUCGGGGUCUCCUUGAGGGUGUCCUGGUGCCGUCCAUGUCCCCAUGGGGGUCUCAUCCAGGGGGUCCUGGCGCCGUCCAUGUCCCCAUGGGGGGGGAGGGUCUCACCGUUGGGGACCGAACACCGUCCCCAUCCAUGGUAGGGGUCUCACCAUGGUGGUCCCAGCAGUGUCCCCAUCCCGGUUGGGGUCUCGUCCUGGUGAUCGGGGCCAUCGUCCCCAUCCAUGGUCGGGGUCUCGUUGAGGGUGUCCUGGUGCUGUCCAUGUCCUCGGGGGGGGGUCUCACUGCUGGGGACGAAACACCGUCCCCAUCCUGGUUGGGGUCUCACCAUGGUGGUCCCGGCAUCAUCCAUGUCUCGGUUGGGGUCUUGUCCUGGUGGUUGGAGCCACUGUCCCCAUCCUGGUUGGGGUCUCACCAUGGUGGUCCCAGCAUCAUCCAUGUCUCGGUUGGGGUCUUGUCCUGGUGGUUGGGGCCAUCAUCCCCAUCCAUGGUUGAGGUCUCAUCAUGGUGGUCCCGGCAUCAUCCAUGUCUUGGUCGAGGUCUUGUCCUGGAGAUUGGGGCCACCGUCCCCAUCCAUGGUCGAGGUCUCCUCAUGGUGGUCCCAGCACUGUCCCCAUCCAUGGUCAGGGUCUCACCAUGGGGGUCCUGGUACCGUCCCCAUCUCCGUUGGGGUGUCACCAUGGUCACCCUGGCAUCAUCCAUUUCUCAGUUGGGGUCUUGUCCCGGAGAUUGGGGCCACCGUCCCCGUCCAUGGUUGAGGUCUCACCAUGGGGGUCCCAGCAUCAUCCAUGUCUUGGUCGAGGUCUUGUCUUGGAGAUUGGGGCCACUGUCCCCAUCCAUGGUUGAGGUCUCACCAUGGUCACCCUGGCAUCAUCCAUACCUUGGUUGAGGUCUUGUCCUGGUGGUUGGAGCCACCAUCCCCAUCCUGGUCAGGGUCUCACCACGGGGGUCCCAGCACCGUCCCCAUCCCGGUCGGGGUCUCGUCCCAGUGGUCGGGGCCACCAUCCCCAUCCACGGCCGUGGCAUCACCGCGGGGGUCCCGUCCCCGACCCCGUCCCCGCGGGGGGGUGGUGGGCGGCCGCCUCAGGACCCGCCGUAUUCGGCGUGCGGCACCCGCCCGUCCGGGAAGCCCCGAGCG
rnacentral:lncRNA from 1 species